CCUACGGGCGGCAGCAGUGGGGAAUAUUGGGCAAUGGGCGCAAGCCUGACCCAGCAACGCCGCGUGAAGGAAGAAGGCUUUCGGGUUGUAAACUUCUUUUCUGAGGGACGAAGAAAGUGACGGUACCUCAGGAAUAAGCCACGGCGAACUACGUGCCAGCAGCCGUGGUAAUACGUAGGUGGCAAGCGUUAUACGGAUGUAUUGGGUGUAAAGGGCGUGUAGGCGGGAAAGCAAGUCAGAGGUGAAAACUCAGGGCUCAACCCUGAGCCUGCGUGUGAAACUGUUUUUCUUGAGUGCUGGAGAGGCAAGCGGAAUUCCGGGUGUAGCGGUGAAAUGCGUAGAUAUACGGAGGAACACCAGUGGCGAAGGCGGAUUGCUGGACAGUAACUGACGCUGAGGCGCGAAGGCGUGGGGAGCAAACAGGAUUAGAUACCCGUGUAGUC
rnacentral:rRNA from 1 species